rnacentral:rRNA from 1 species
UGGGGGAUAUUGCACAAUGGGGGGAACCCUGAUGCAGCGACGCCGCGUGAGCGAAGAAGUACCUCGGUAUGUAAAGCUCUAUCAGCAGGGAAGAAGAUGACGGUACCUGACCAAGAAGCUCCGGCUAAAUACGUGCCAGCAGCCGCGGUAAUACGUAUGGAGCAAGCGUUAUCCGGAUUUACUGGGUGUAAAGGGAGCGCAGGCGGCCAGGCAAGUCCGAUGUGAAAUACCGGGGCCCAACCCCGGGGCUGCAUUGGAAACUGUCGGGCUGGAGUGUCGGAGGGGCAGGCGGAAUUCCUAGUGUAGCGGUGAAAUGCGUAGAUAUUAGGAGGAACACCGGUGGCGAAGGCGGCCUGCUGGACGACGACUGACGCUGAGGCUCGAAAGCGUGGGGAGCAAACAGG